rnacentral:rRNA from 1 species
UACGGAGGGUGCAAGCGUUAAUCGGAAUUACUGGGCGUAAAGCGUGCGCAGGCGGUUUGUUAAGUCCGUUGUGAAAGCCCCGAGCUCAACUUGGGAAUUGCAGUGGAUACUGGCAGGCUGGAGUACGGUAGAGGAAGGUGGAAUUCCCGGUGUAGCAGUGAAAUGCGUAGAGAUCGGGAGGAACACCAGCGGCGAAGGCGGCGACCUGGACAAGUACUGACACUCAACUACGAAAGCGUGGGUAGCAAACAGG